CAGUCAGCCACAUACAGUAAAUUUUUUGAGUAUUCAAAGUCAUUUAUCAAGUAAAAUUAGACCAUCUAAAGCAGCUUCAAGUUUAUUCUGACCUAAUUCUGUUCUUGUUUAAACCCUACUAAACAUGCACAGCAUCCUGUAUACACAUCUAUGUAGUGCUUUUUUUAUAUUUCUCAUAUGAGAACAGCUCAUUGUAGGAAGCAUUUGCUUGCACAUCUCUUUCCAUAUUUAGUUUUUGGUUUCCUUGAUUAGAUGAGAUGAACUCUUGAAGGUCAGCUAGCUGCACUUGUGGUUGCUCAUGCGACGAAGAUGGCAAAUUAGAGCAGAAAGCUCAAGCAGACUCAUGUAUGUAAAUGCACAGCUGCACAAUGUCAGCAUUAUUACGGCAGCUUGUAAACAGGACAGAUGUGCGUUUGUGGGUUACGUGUCUAUAGACUGAUGUCAGUGCAGCUGUGCUGCUUUUGUUAGCUCAUCUGCAUUGGUUUGUAUCAUGUAUGAGAGUGAGAGUGGCGUGCAUGUUUUAAAGCUCCACCCCCUCCUGCCUUCAGUGGGUUGGUAUGCCCUUAUAUGGGGGGUGAGUCUUGUGGGGUGAGAGAUUUCAGCCAAUCAGAGCAUGAGGAGUGUUGUUGGUGAGGGGAGGGUGGAGGAUACUGUAGGGGGUGAUGGUGCCGGUUGAGGGUGUGGUUACGGAGGAGGGGAAAGCUCUGUGUUUGAAAAUGAAUGUGCUACAUGCACAUUUGUAGGGCGUGAGUAAGCGGCCAUCAUUUUGGAGUCAGGCGUUAAGGAAACCGCAGAAACGGGCAUUUCAUCUCCUGAUACGGAAAAGCCAAAGACAGAGCAGUGUUUUCCAACCUGUAAAGAUGCAUUUGACUGCGUGUGAACCUACAGCCAUGUCCACAGCUGUAGUGAUGGACCAUCCAGGAGCUGAUGCGAGCCUCCUCCAGUCCUGUGGAACAGCAGACAGUCUCGCCUCCCUGGAAGAUACCAGCGCCGAGUCUACGGCAAAUGAGUCAUCGGAGGAGGAAUCAGCAUGUGCCAGAGAAGAGCAAUCAAAUACCAAAGCCCAACAGACCACGCACACAGAAUCAGGUGAGAUCACACACUCUCGCUGCUUUACAAACACUCGCAAAUCACUUUAAACUCACAAACACUUGGGUGAAAAGUCUAGAACACAUUCUUACUGUCUUACAAACAAACAUACUCGCUUACUCUCGCUCAUACACGCACAUAAGACCGUAACCACCAUUUUGAACACAUGCCAUAUACAUCUUUUUGAGGCCCCAAAACCACCAUGUGUGCAUUCAGUUCUGCACUACACAGAUAAAGAGCAGAGCGAUGAAAAGCUGGCCAGAGCACUAACCCACAACUUGCAGCUCAAUGUUCCUCAGUGUUUUCAUCAUGAAAACUCUAAUGCAACCUCAACUUUUGGAGAACUUGAGAUCAGUAGGGCCUUUAAGUGCUCAGUAGAGCAAUUGUUUAAAAGGACGCUUCUGUCCCUAUGCAAACUAACUUCCCUUUCCUUUCACUGCAGGAUGACAAUGUUUUUAUAGUAAUUUUACAGUCACAUAUGAGUUAAACAGUUGUAGAGCAAUUUGAAAGCAACUCAUGUGUGAACUUCCAGAAGUUCCAUCGCUCUGCUGUUGUCUGUCGUGUUUACAUAAGAUAACAGAGCUUUGAAUGAGGUCAUCAAGUCACAUGACCUUGGAUUACAGGUCAAGCUGCUGUGAUGGCUUUGUUUUUCCAUUUCAAACAGUUUUGCAGAAGUCAGCAUAUAGUUAUAGGUUUAUCAGACUGAUGCCGCACAGGACGUUGUACAGUUAUAGGGUGGCUUUCUUCCCCUUUCA
rnacentral:lncRNA from 1 species